UACGAAGGGGGCUAGCGUUGCUCGGAAUCACUGGGCGUAAAGCGCACGUAGGCGGAUUGUUAAGUCAGGGGUGAAAUCCUGGAGCUCAACUCCAGAACUGCCUUUGAUACUGGCGAUCUUGAGUCCGGGGAGAGGUGAGUGGAACUGCGAGUGUAGAGGUGAAAUUCGUAGAUAUUCGCAAGAACACCAGUGGCGAAGGCGGCUCACUGGCCCGGUACUGACGCUGAGGUGCGAAAGCGUGGGGAG
rnacentral:rRNA from 1 species